CUUCCCAGGGACCCUCCUGCCCAGGGGGCUAGCCUGCCCCUUCCAGGACUGGGGGCGGGACUGCUACUCCAGGCACAGUCAGGGCUGAGGAAUGGCAGAAACAUGGAAGUUUUCUUCCCAAAGUUCCAGCUAGAUCAGAAGUAUGAGAUGGGUGAACUGCUUAAGCAGAUGGGAAUCAGAAGAGUCUUCUCACCCCAGGGCUGACCUCCGUGAGCUCUCAGUUACUUCAAGAAACCUGAAAGUACCCAAGGAACAAGACCUGUUCCAAUUGAGUAGGAACAAAAC